rnacentral:lncRNA from 1 species
UAAUAACUGUAAUCUUGGUCAAGAUAUCUAAUCCCCAGAUUCCAUCUGCUCAUCUGUUAACUAGUCCUGUGCACCCUGUCUGGGCCUCUGGCGCUCUCCUCUGCAACAGACUGUUGCCUAAGGAUACAGGGUGUGUGGCUGGUGGCCUCAACAGGCCCCACGGCUCAGGCACUCAGACCCAAGCUGGUCCCUCAAAAUUCAUUCUGUCAAGUUAACUGUGGAGGUUGUUGUUGCUAUUGCAGACUAAAUGGUUUUCCUGGGAACUCUGACUCUGGCCACAAGAUCAAGACUGACAAAUUUCCUUUCUCUGUUUAUGGAGGGAGACUUCACAACAUUCACUGAAAGAGGAGCAAAGGACCUGGUUUUUGCCAUGACUGGCUUUGGCCCCGUGAAUGAAUGUUUUUCUGGCAUUGGAAAGCGGAUAGCAAAGAGAGCAGAACCACAAAUGGGCUAUGAGGAAAUGUGUUCAAUGAAGAAAACAAAAUCUCUGACAAGAUCCAACAUAGGACAACAUCUCAGCAUCUUCUGUGAUUUGUGAACCCA